AUUGAACGCUGGCGGCAGGCCUAACACAUGCAAGUCGAGCGAGCGGCGGACGGGUGAGUAAUGUCUGGGAAACUGCCUGAUGGAGGGGGAUAACUACUGGAAACGGUAGCUAAUACCGCAUACCAUCAGAUGUGCCCAGGUGGGAUUAGCUAGGAGGUGGGGUAACGGCUCACCUAGGCGCCGAUCCCUAGCUGGGCUGAGAGGAGGACCAGCCACACUGGAACUGCGACACGGUCCAGACGCCUACGGGAGGCAGCAGGGGGGAAGAGUGCACAAUGGGCGCAAGCCGGAUGCAGCCAUGCCGCGUGGGUGAAGAAGGCCUUCGGGUUGUAAAGCACUUUCAGCGGGGAGGCGUUACCCGCAGAAGAAGCACCGGCUAACUCCGUGCCAGCAGCCGCGGUAAUAC
rnacentral:rRNA from 1 species